CUCAGAAUUUAAGGGGCUGUACUUGCUGGG
rnacentral:piRNA from 1 species